GGGCCCGUGGUGUAGCGGUUAACAUGCCUGCCUGUCACGCAGGAGAUCGCCGGUUCGAAUCCGGUCGGGCUCG
rnacentral:tRNA from 1 species